rnacentral:rRNA from 1 species
AGUGAACGCUGGCGGUAGACCUAACACAUGCAAGUCGAACGGCAGCACAGUAAGAGCUUGCUCUUACGGGUGGCGAGUGGCGGACGGGUGAGGAAUACAUCGGAAUCUACUUUUUCGUGGGGGAUAACGUAGGGAAACUUACGCUAAUACCGCAUACGACCUACGGGUGAAAGCAGGGGAUCUUCGGACCUUGCGCGAUUGAAUGAGCCGAUGUCGGAUUAGCUAGUUGGCGGGGUAAAGGCCCACCAAGGCGACGAUCCGUAGCUGGUCUGAGAGGAUGAUCAGCCACACUGGAACUGAGACACGGUCCAGACUCCUACGGGAGGCAGCAGUGAGGAAUAUUGGACAAUGGGCGCAAGCCUGAUCCAGCCAUACCGCGUGGGUGAAGAAGGCCUUCGGGUUGUAAAGCCCUUUUGUUGGGAAAGAAAAGCAGCAGGUUAAUACCCCGCUGUUCUGACGGUACCCAAAGAAUAAGCACCGGCUAACUUCGUG